UUGGAGGGCAAGUCUGGUGCCAGCAGCCGCGGUAAUUCCAGCUCCAAUAGCGUAUAUUAAAGUUGUUGCAGUUAAAAAGCUCGUAGUUGAAUUUCGGGAUCAAUAUUUCGGUCAUGCCGUUGGUAUGCACUGUUAUCAUUGAUUUCUCACCUUCUAAAGAACCGUAAUGCCAUUAAUUUGGUGUUACGGGGAAUUAGGACUGUUACCUUGAAAAAAUUAGAGUGUUUAAAGCAGGCUCACGCUUGAAUACAUUAGCAUGGAAUAAUGAAAUAGGACAUCCGAUUCUAUUUUGUUGGUUUCUAGGAUCGAUGUAAUGAUUAAUAGGGAUAGUUGGGGGCAUUAGUAUUCAAUUGUCAGAGGUGAAAUUCUUGGAUUUAUUGAAGACUAACUACUGCGAAAGCAUUUGCCAAGGAUGUUUUCAUUAAUCAAGAACAAAAGUUAGGGGAUCGAAGACGAUCAGAUACCGUCGUAGUCUUAACCAUAAACUAUGCCGACUAGGAAUCAGACGAUGUUAAUUUUUUAAUGACUCGUUCGGCGCCUUACGGGAAAC
rnacentral:rRNA from 1 species